rnacentral:rRNA from 1 species
GUUUAACAAAAACAUGUCUUUUUGAUUAUAAUUUAAAGUCUGGCCUGCCCAAUGAAUUAAUUAAAUGGCCGCGGUAUAUUGACUGUGCAAAGGUAGCAUAAUCAUUAGUUUUUUAAUUGAAAGCUGGAAUGAAGGGUUGGAUGAAAAAAUAACUGUCUCUAUUUAAAUUAAUUAGAAUUUUAUUUUUAAGUUAAAAAGCUUAAAUAUAUAUAAAAGACGAGAAGACCCUAUAGAGUUUUAUAUUUUUUUUAAUUAAUAAUAUUUAGUAUUUUAAUUUUAUUUUCUAAGCAAAAUAUUUUAUUGGGGUGAUUGAAAAAUUUAAAAAACUUUUUUUUUAUAUUUACAUUAAUUUAUGAAUAUUUGAUCCUUAAAUAAAGAUUAUAAGAUUAAAUUACCUUAGGGAUAACAGCGUAAUUUUUUUUAAGAGUUCAAAUCGAAAAAAAAGAUUGCGACCUCGAUGUUGGAUUAAAA